rnacentral:rRNA from 1 species
UACAAUGGCGCGGACAGAGCGAUGCCAAACCGCAAGGUCGAGCCAAUCGCACAAACCGCGCCCCAGUUCGGAUUGCGGGCUGCAACCCGCCCGCAUGAAGCCGGAAUCGCUAGUAAUCGCGGAUCAGCAUGCCGCGGUGAAUGUGUUCCUGAGCCUUGUACACACCGCCCGUCAAGCCACCAAAGCGGGGGGCAUCCGAAGUCGCCGGAGCCGCGAGGCAGGCGCCGAAGGUGAAACCCGUGAUGGGGACUAAGUCGUAACAAGGUAACC